CUUUCCCCAAUACUUAAUCACCGCGAUGUUCGUCGGUGUUUGAGCAGUCACCAUGUACACCCAUUUCUCUGCCGCCAUAAGAAGUGAUCUCUUCGUCGCUGCACAGAGAGAGAAGGAGAGAUCUGGAGAGAGUUUUCAAGAGACGGAGAAUUCGAAACUAUACAAAAAAGCAAGCACCAGUGACUACAGUCUGAUAAAAGUCCAGCGAUAUGAAUAUGAUGGUGCUUCUCUUCCUCACGCAUUGCUCUCAUGUACACAGAAGGAUGAUCAUCUAGUAAUUAACCACUUUUUCAACACUCUUGUGUGCUGAGGAAUGUUUGAUUCGUUAGAAGAAGAAGGCAAUGGUACAUGACUGUUGUGAUUGACCAAAUGCGUUUUCAUGGAAGACUAGAACCAGAUAUUCGUUACUAAUGUUCAACUCAACUUUUCAUUUAUUAUGAUAUUAUCCGUUUUUGGACUUAAGAGCUUAUGAAUUUGUUUUCGGAAAUGCUUCUCCAUUAGACACACUACUUUUACAUUUUCUGCUUAAUAUUAGAUGUUGAGCUUGAAUUGCCUAUUUAUUUAUCCAGCAAUUAUCAUAUUUGCUUAAACAAUGGUGUUCUCCUGUUAUCUCCACCAGUUUAGCCUCUUUUUUUUUCUCUUUAUAAGUAGUAUCUGAGGCAGGAUACGCGAGUAAUCAUUUGGAACAAAUGUUGUUGUUGUGGUACAAAACAAUAUCCCUGCAAACCAAAAAUCAUACACAAAUUCUUUCUUAAUCAGUGUCAUGAAGACAACAAUCAACACACGAACAAUGAAGCAAAUCAAGAGUUAGCAGAUUACAUGAAAUAAAUAAAUAAAUGUAGGGUUUUGUUGUAGAGACCCCAAAAACCCUCCCUGCCCCCAGAAGGUCAUAGACAAACCAAUUAUGAUCAAAUACAGACCAGUUCAGGUACAAUCUUCCCUUAUUUAUUACUUUUCAAGAUAUGUAAAAAGAGUAUCAGUGAAGGCCAAUACAUAACACAACA